GCCUGGGUGGCUCAUUAGGUUAGGCAUCUGACUUCAGCUCAGGUCACGAUCUCAUGGUUUGUGGGUUUGAGUCCCGCAUUGGGCU
rnacentral:tRNA from 1 species